CAGCAGCCGCGGUAAUACGUAGGGGGCGAGCGUUGUCCGGAAUUAUUGGGCGUAAAGCGCGCGCAGGCGGUCCCUUAAGUCUGAUGUGAAAGCCCACGGCUUAACCGUGGAGGGUCAUUGGAAACUGGGGGACUUGAGUGCAGAAGAGGAGAGCGGAAUUCCACGUGUAGCGGUGAAAUGCGUAGAGAUGUGGAGGAACACCAGUGGCGAAGGCGGCUCUCUGGUCUGUAACUGACGCUGAGGCGCGAAAGCGUGGGGAGCAAACAGGAUUAGAUACCCUGGUAGUCCACGCCGUAAACGAUGAGUGCUAAGUGUUAGAGGGGUUAUUCCCUUUAGUGCUGUAGCUAACGCGUUAAGCACUCCGCCUGGGGAGUACGGCCGCAAGGCUGAAACUCAAAGGAAUUGACGG
rnacentral:rRNA from 4 species